AACGAACGCUGGCGGCAGGCUUAACACAUGCAAGUCGAACGCCCCGCAAGGGGAGUGGCGCACGGGUGAGUAACGCGUGGGAAUAUGCCCUUCGGUUCGGAAUAACACAGGGAAACUUGUGCUAAUACCGGAUACGAUCUACGGAUGAAAGAUUUAUCGCCGAGGGAGUAGCCCGCGUAGGAUUAGCUAGUUGGUGAGGUAAUGGCUCACCAAGGCGACGAUCCUUAGCUGGUCUGAGAGGAUGAUCAGCCACACUGGGACUGAGACACGGCCCAGACUCCUACGGGAGGCAGCAGUGGGGAAUAUUGGACAAUGGGCGAAAGCCUGAUCCAGCCAUGCCGCGUGAGUGAUGAAGGCCUUAGGUUGUAAGACUCUUUCGCCAGGGAAGGUAAUGACGGUACCUGGAAAGAAGACCUCGGCUAACUCCGUGCCAGCAGCCGCGGUAA
rnacentral:rRNA from 1 species